ensembl:piRNA 21ur-9354 ncRNA
UAAUAACGAAAAAUUAUUCUC